rnacentral:tRNA from 1 species
ACCUGGCUGGCUCAGUUGGUAGAGCUUGAGACUCUUGAUCUUGAGGGGUGUGAGUUCAAGCCCCACAUUAGGCA